rnacentral:rRNA from 1 species
CAAACUGAAGAUGGCGACCGGCGCACGGGUGAGUAACACGUAUCCAACCUGCCGAUAACUCCGGAAUAGCCUUUCGAAAGAAAGAUUAAUACCGGAUGGCAUACGAAUAUCGCAUGAUAUUUUUAUUAAAGAAUUUCGGUUAUCGAUGGGGAUGCGUUCUAUUAGUUUGUUGGCGGGGUAACGGCCCACCAAGACUACGAUGGAUAGGGGUUCUGAGAGGAAGGUCCCCCACAUUGGAACUGAGACACGGUCCAAACUCCUACGGGAGGCAGCAUG